UGCUGAGGACUGGGGUAAAGUCAUUUUCUCUGAUGAAUCCCCUUUCCGAUUGUUUGGGACAUCAGGAAAACAGCUUAAGAUUUUUUUAGUAAGUAAAAUAACACAUUCAUGAGGUUUACUCACCUUCAAUGACGCAGUUUGCUGAACCUGGACGCUCAAAUCAGGGUCUUUAUGAUUUGAAAAAGGUACACGGUUGUUUGACAAUAAAUGGUUUCUUCCAACCACUAACUGAGUGACAAAGUUUUUGUGUUAUCAUUUAUGUUGUCUGAAAAAUGGCUACAAAGUCAAGAACUCCCACCAGAGUACAGUAUGUAAACUUAUGGGCACAACUGAAUAUAUUUUUAAAUUUUAUUUCGUACAAGAUCUGAUAAAGAGGAACUGGUUGAUGUUGGAACUGCCAGUCCAGUUCAGAAUGUAUAAGUGAACAUGAACGGAUUCAUUUUAACCUGGCUGAACUGAACUGAGAACUAGUUCCUGUGAAGGAUGACCUGAAAACACUGAUUGUACACAUCACCAAUCAAGCAAAACAAAAAGACCACUCUCUUGUAAGGCUUUUGUUUUCCAAAUUAGGGUGAGCAUUGAAGUCAAUUAAUCACUUGUGACAAAUUAAUCAAUUAGAUGAAAAAAUUGCACAUUCUGCAGAUUUUUCAUUUAAGCUUUUUAUGCAAUAUUAGAAGUGCAUUACAUAUGUAAAUGAACAACUAAUUACUUUUUAAGAUAAAAGAAACAUUUUAUUGCCUAAAACACAAUAACAUUGCAUUCCUUUAAUGUAGCAAAGGACGGAUCUGCAGCUAAAAAAUACUUUUAACGUGUAAAAAGUUCAGCUCUUCCUGCUUGACUUAAUAAACGUAAAGAUAAUGUGUCAAUUAUUUUUUAGGAUUAUCACAGGCUUAAGAGAUUUCUUUUUGUUUUACAGAAAUUAAACCAGGUGAAGUUCAAACUAUUCCACUUAUUUUUAUGACGUAAAGCACUUUGAACUAUCUUGUUGCUGAAAUGUGCUAUACGAAUAAACUUGAGUUAUAGACAAAACAUAUUUACAGAUAUAUAUUUUUUCAAUUAUCUGAAAAUAAAAAAAAAAUUACAGAUAAUUAUUUUUGAAUUAUCUGUAAAUAAUUUAAAAUAUAUAUUUUUCUGUAUCUUAAAUACAAAAUGUGUGUAUUUUUGCUCACUUUUGUCUUUAUUACUGCUCUUUCAGCAAAUUCUGUAAACUUUCGUUAAUAUCAACCAAUUACUAAAUAAGUUGGCAAUUUAAAUAAACAAUCACGAUUGUUUCUUCCCUAGUCAUAAUGUUGUGCCUGAUUGGUGUUUUUGUUGUGUAAUCAAGAAUCUCACUGCAAGAAUUAGCUAAAAAAAAAAAAAAAAAAGACCAGCAAAAGCAGAUAAAACAAACCAAGCACAGAGGCAUAUCAAAUGGCUGAAAGAAUGUAUUUAAACAAAUUAUAAAAGUCAGCUUUUAGAGAAAACUUUAUUUUUUAAUUUGUUAAUAUGCUUGGUAUAAGAUCAUGUGAUAUUUUUUUCUUAUUUCUCCAAAGAGCUGGAACUUUUAUUUAUUAAUCAUCUGCUCAAACACAAGAGGGAAAGACAGGAACACCUACUCUGAUUAAAUGAGACCACAUGGGAGUUAAUGAUGUUUUUGUGAGAGGAACAGAAGGGUUCAUACAAGCCUCUGAGUUCAUAGAUUAACAAUAACUUUUCUGUAAACAGAUCAAAGAAAAAUAAAAUAAAAUUAUCAGCUUCUCAACAUGGAUAUGAUCUAGUUUCUUCCGGGUUGUAAAGGUAUUCACUUUCAUGGGGGAAGUACAUAAAUCCAAAAUAUUAUUAAUCCUCCAAAGAAUAAUUGUGCAUUUUAACUGGUGUUGCUGCUGUUCUGUGACAGAAUAUUACUCACUUUAGGGGGGAGACACAAAUGGUAAUCACCGAAUGCUUCCAGAUGUCAAAUUAUUCACAAACGUCAUGAUUUCAAAAAGGACUAAACCCCAGAUGACCUAUGAAAAGCCUUAAUUAAAACCCAAUAUUAAGGCUGUGACUUCCUGGUGUCAAACCAAAGCGAAGCGUUUGUUAUCAAAACCGAACGAUGCAGGAUUAGAAACAAGCUUUAAUUAUUCUUUCUCAGAUGGUGGAAGAAAAAAAAAUUAAGGAGCAGUAUGUUCAAACAUUGGAUAUGAAAGAGUUAGUAGUUGUUAUCAUCAUCUUCAUCAUCAGGCAAACUACAACAGCACUACAUUCCUGCUUUGAUCCCCCCCCUUAGUUGAUGAAAGUGGUUCGAUCCAGAGGCAGAAACCGGCCUAUCAGACAACCCUUCAGAUGACAGUCGCUCUCCAUCAAUAAGGCCACUUUAUAUAGAAACUCUAAAUGAGAAAUGCAACUUAUCGCUUCGUGUUUGUAGAUCUUUGCAGUGUCAUCAUCAACGAAUGAACUGG